CAAUGCUCUUGCUGCCGGAAGAUGUUUUUGAAGAAACAAAAGAUGUUAUUGAUUCCUCAAUUGAUGCAAAAAGAGGGAAUCAACCACCUGAUAUCAACCCGUCAAGAAGACUUAAUCUAGGACAAGUCGCCAAACCUUUUGUAAUGGGUGAAUAUCAGUGGAGAUGAGAAAGCAGUUGUAUCAGG